rnacentral:tRNA from 1 species
AGAGGUGUAGCUCAGUGAGUGAGCAUGUGCCAUGUGCCUAGCAUCCAUAAGGCCCUGGGUUCAAUCCCCAGCACCACAA